rnacentral:misc_RNA from 1 species
UUUCCGUAGGUGAACCUGCGGAAGGAUCAUUAUAAAUGAAAAACGAAUAACUUCAGGGAAGAAGGGAACCUGCACGGUGACCUCCCCUGUCGGGCCACCCAAUACCUUCAAAAUGCCGCCGUCCUAGCGGUGGCAGACGAAAAGAAAACAAGAAAAACAAAAUAGAAACAGGCACGGUGGCCCGUUCACCUUCACACAACCCUCCGAGUACCGCUUCCACGUUGCUUCCCCGCAAAUCCACCUCUUUGGUGAGCGCGGGGGAGGUCCGCAUCAAAUUCACCUGAAUGUCACAGCAGUCAGACAGCCAUUCAUGGAAACAAUAAAACUUUCAACAACGGAUCUCUUGGUUCCC